GCCCUUUUCCGGUUGAUCCUGCCGGAGGCCAUUGCUAUCGGAGUCCGAUUUAGCCAUGCUAGUUGUACGAGUUCAGACUCGUGGCGGAUAGCUCAGUAACACGUGGCCAAACUACCCUACAGACCGCAAUAACCUCGGGAAACUGAGGCUAAUAGCGGAUACAGCUUCCACGUUGGAACUGCAGGAAGCUGGAAAUGCUUUAGUGCUGUAGGAUGUGGCUGCGGCCGAUUAGGUAGACGGUGGGGUAACGGCCCACCGUGCCAGCAAUCGGUACGGGUCGUGAGAGCGAGAGCCCGGAGACGGUAUCUGAGACAAGAUACCGGGCCCUACGGGGCGCAGCAGGCGCGAAACCUUUACACUGCACGACAGUGCGUUAGGGGGACUCCGAGUGCGA
rnacentral:rRNA from 1 species